GUGGUUGCUGGGAUUUGAACUCAGCAGGACCUUCGGAAGAGCAGCCAGUGCUCUUACCUGCUGAGCCAUCUCUCCAGCUCCCAGGUUACAUUCUUUUACUUUGUAAUCUGAAAAUAUUAUACCACGCCUCUACACAGAUUCCCUGUUUAUUUACCUAGAUGCUCCAUUAGAACCUGAAAAUGUUCUUACCUCUCGAGCACUGUCUAUACUGGAAUUUAUAAUCAACAUUAAGAGACUUAACAUUGUGAGCAUUUGAUCGUGUGGGGGAGUUGAGGGGUGAUUGAUUGUGUUCUCUAGCAUUGGAAAGGGAAUUCUUAGGGUGUUUCUAUAAGCCAUUAGCACAUUAAUCUUGAUGACCACAGAAUAUCUUGACAAUAGAAUAGAAUGUAUGCAGAUGUGGGAAGAUCAGAUUGGUGUGGGAGUAGGAGAAGGGAGAGGGAGAUUGUGUGUGCCCUGCUGGGUGGUAACUAGCAUCUAUCAAAAGGUCCUGGGUUCAAUUCUUAGCACCACUAGAAAAAAAAAUUUUAAAGGAAGAAACAAAACAAAAUGCUAAUUUGGAAAAGUAGGCAGAAAGAUUAAGAACAGUGUAACCUAGGCUGAUGACCUGCAGGUGGUGAUCACAUAAGAAUAAGUAUGUCUUUGAUCCAAAUUAAGUAUUGACCUUCAGGAAGCCUAGAACUAGGAACCCUGCAGAGUAAGCAAAGCCCCCAGACUCCUGCUUAUCUUAGAGGAGGAAAUGAAAAGGUAAGUCUGCAUUCCAUUGCCCAGCUGGUGGGAGAAGGGGAUGGGGCUGGAGGCAGGUAUUUCAUGAGAAGAUGACAGGGCAAGAGGCAUGGUUCUCUUAGGAGGAAGUGAAGUUACUCUUGAUCAUAGACAGAUUUAGUUAUAGCUGUAUUACAACCUCAUGGUGUUUUCUUCAUUAAAACACAGGGCUGACAAAAUUCUCACCUAAUUUGGCUGAAACAGGAACUCGGUUCUUAAGAGGUACUAGCCGGUCCUUACAUGCCUUCUCCAGUGGUAACUCGCACUUUAGGUGGCGCCGGAAGUUCUCUCUCAGAAUAGAACGAAUCACCUUAACAAUGCUGGUUUUGCUGUCACUGUCACUGGGGGAAGAAAAGAAAGAGUACAUACGCAAGGUCUUUCUGCUUCUUUGUGGGCCUUCCUAGGGAUAGAGCCCUGGCCAGCUUUGCCCAAUGUGUGACUGGCUUUUCUGACUUAAAGUAUACCAGUUGCCCUUUUGAAGGUGAAGCUGUGUCCUCAUACCAGAAUUCAGAAGGGCACCAAAAACAUACCCCCACAUACACAGUUUGUUUAAAAAAAAAAUUUCACUUGUGUAAUUGUGUGUGUUCAUAUAUGUACUCCGUGUUGGGGUGGGGCGGGAGGUGGGGCACUGAACAGACCAGAGGAAGUCGGAUCCCACAGAGCUAGAGUUAACAAGUGGUUGGAAGCCACAAAACAUGGGUGCUGGGAACCAAUCCCAAGUCCUGCGGAAGAGCAUCCAGUGCUUCUAGCUUCUUAGCUCUCUCUUCAGCCCUGUGUCUCCCCUUUAAAGGGACACAAUGAAGUCUUCUAUCAUGUGUCAAAGGAAGUACCUGCAGCACAGCUGGAAGAUGGUUUCUGGCCGUCCUUCAAUUUCCGACUUGGUAUGAAUCAGCUCCCACAUGGAAUUGUUUUCAGUCCCUGGGGAAAAGGAAGUGGAAACAAGAGUCCACAACUCUGCCAAAAUCCCGCAGCUGGGGAUACCUGUGGUCUCAACGAUUCAAACGUCCAGAGGGUAUCAAAGCCUACAGCAAAAAAGAAAUGGUGACAGAUGUUGACUGUAAAAGUGAAGAAACCAUGCAGAGGCCAUAAAAGGCUGUCCAGUGCCACUUGGUUUCUUCCAAAAGAUUGUGAAGAAACACCAAGACAACCCAGUUCUCAUUAUCUAUCUCUAAGAAGUAAAUACAUGCAAAAGUGACCCUGGUGCGAUGGCUUGAAGAUGUCCCCACAAUCUAUGCACAUCAGGCCUGGAGGAAGAAGGGAGCUGUAAGGCUGGACCUGGGGGGAGGGUGGUAGAUCAGAGAAGGUGUGCUCUCAGUCACUAAAGCCCUCAUCCACUUCCUGUCUUCCCCUCUGCUUCCUGUCCACCCGAGUGAACAGAUGUCUGCCAGCACAUGCUCCUGUUAUAAUCAACUAUGCUGCCAUUGUACCAUGGCCCGAUACCCAGGAGCUCAAAUAAAUCAUUCCUGCCUAUCAGAAAUCUUGUAAACAUGGAAGCCUUACUUUUCUAUCCCACAUGAAUGAAAAGCACGUGGAAGUGUUUCUUGUCAUCGCAUUCCCCAAAGUCUUUACCUGCCGUGUUCCCAAGUCUAACUUGAAGCGCAGAUAUGGGAAUCAACCAGCGGAAUUUAAACGGGUCCAAGUCAGCAGAGCUGUGAGCGGGCCGGGAAUUUGAGGGCUGCAACGCGAGAGACCACCAGGAAGAGGUUACAGUCCUGUGUGCAGUGAGUGAGCAGAGCUAUCUCGAAGUGUGUGCAGGACUUGUGUGGGUGCCUAAGGGGCAUACAAACCAGGUACACACCCAGUUCUCAAAGACCUCCCAGGCCUGGGGCUGGGACUGUGCCAAAGUGAGAGAGAGUUCAUGGAACACGAGGUUCCCCGUCUCUGCAAAGAUGGCGGCCUUCCCUCCUGCAGUCUCCAGUUCCUGCUGGUGGCUUAUGGCAUCCAUGGCAAAGUUCUGACCAAAUGCUUUGGAGUUCUGCUUGGGUCUUGACUUUUUGAAUCAAAGUAAAAAACUAGUUCUAAAGCCAAAAUGUUGAAGACCUCUGUGUGUAUGGAACCACAUGUACUAUUAUUUUUAGGGAAUAAAAGUUUUCUGUUUUGGCCUCGUGUA